CCAUUUAUUUACCGAAACUAUUUAUUUAUUUAUUUACAGAUUUACCACUGACAGUGAUAAGGCACCUGUUGCAAAAAGAGUCAAGACCAACAUCCAGGCAAGCAGCAGCAGGUCCAUUCUGUCAUGGAAAACAGAGCCUCAUAUUGAUGUGGUUCCACACACUUUGCGUUUCUUUCAUGCACGGGAACCUGGACAUCAGCUGAGUCAUGCAGACGCACACACCCGAGUCUCUUCAAAAUGUUUUUUUCCGGAGGAUGCAGUUUCAAAUCUAAGCCAUAACACCAACGCUCAGGCUGCCAGGGUAACAGCAAAUGGUUGCAAGUAUAAAUGGAAAGAUGUCAGCGUCACUGAGAGGUAACGCUACAUUGGACUACUAUUUUAUAUGGCCAUGGUAAAGAUGAUCUCCAUCAGGCACUACUGGAGACAGGACGAUGUUUUCUCCGUGCCUUUUCCUGCCAGAGUAAUGUCAAGAGAGAGAUACUGCACUAUUUCAUGGAAUGUGCACACGAGUCACCCAGAAGACGACAAACAUGUAAUGUUCCAUUGUGUGUUCAGUUAAAUAGGAACUGUUUUGAACAAUGGCACGACAACAUUUAACUCCAUUCUCAAAGAGUUACAGUGUGUGAUGUAUUUUUAGAUGCACACCAAACUGUACAUUCAUAGCUGACAUUUAGAAUAAUUUUCUUUUAAUUAGAGCCAUAUUGUACUGGUCAUAUAGAAUAUUGUUACAUGUAUUGUUACUUUAUUAUUUAUAAUUACAAUGAUGCUUCUUUAUUGAUAAUUACAAUAAAGCUUUUUAACUCUA